rnacentral:rRNA from 1 species
UACGUAGGGUGCAAGCGUUGUCCGGAAUUAUUGGGCGUAAAGAGCUCGUAGGCGGUCUGUCGCGUCGGCUGUGAAAACCCGUGGCUCAACCCCGGGCCUGCAGUCGAUACGGGCAGACUAGAGUGCGGUAGGGGAGACUGGAAUUCCUGGUGUAGCGGUGAAAUGCGCAGAUAUCAGGAGAAACACCGGUGGCGAAGGCGGGUCUCUGGGCCGAUACUGACGCUGAGGAGCGAAAGCGUGGGGAGCGAACAGG